rnacentral:miRNA from 1 species
UUUUUCCUACACCUCCCAACCC